rnacentral:rRNA from 1 species
AUAGCUCAAAUUUGAAAGCUGGCCUCUGGUCCGCAUUGUAAUUUGUAGAGGAUGCUUUUAGGCAGCCGCCGGUCUAAGUUCCUUGGAACAGGACGUCAUAGAGGGUGAGAAUCCCGUAUGUGACCGGCUCAGGCACCUUCUGUAAAGCUCCUUCGACGAGUCGAGUUGUUUGGGAAUGCAGCUCUAAAUGGGAGGUAAAUUUCUUCUAAAGCUAAAUACUGGCGAGAGACCGAUAGCGCACAAGUAGAGUGAUCGAAAGAUGAAAAGCACUUUGGAAAGAGAGUUAAAAAGCACGUGAAAUUGUUGAA